GUUAGAUUGUUGCAGGAAGGAGAUUGUUGCUGCUAAUGUUAGUUCUAAUUGAGAAUAUCCAUCAAUACGCCAUUAAAAUUUGGAUUAUUAGUCGAGAAUAGAGAGGAAGAAUGAGUAAUAGAAGGUGCAACGACGACAAUAGCAGCAAGAGGAACAUAAGAGAUGGAUUGAGAUCUAUUUUACUGUUGCAGUUUUCGAGGAGGAGGCGGUGGUAAAGCUCAGAGAGAAGAGGAUAAGAGGAAUAUGGAGAUAAAUAGGGAGGAGAUGAAGAAGGAAGAGAUGAAGCGGAGAGAGAAGGAAGAAGAAGUGAGAUCA
rnacentral:lncRNA from 1 species